UGCUGUGAGCUCGAUGAGUAGGGCGGGACACGUGGUAUCCUGUCUGAAUAUGGGGGGACCAUCCUCCAAGGCUAAAUACUCCUGACUGACCGAUAGUGAACCAGUACCGUGAGGGAAAGGCGAAAAGAACCCCGGCGAGGGGAGUGAAAAAGAACCUGAAACCGUGUACGUACAAGCAGUGGGAGCACCCUUUGGGGUGUGACUGCGUACCUUUUGUAUAAUGGGUCAGCGACUUAUAUUCUGUAGCAAGGUUAACCGAAUAGGGGAGCCGGAGGGAAACCGAGUCUUAACCGGGCGUUAAGUUGCAGGGUAUAGACCCGAAACCCGGUGAUCUAGCCAUGGGCAGGUUGAAGGUUGGGUAACACUAACUGGAGGACCGAACCGACUAAUGUUGAAAAAUUAGCGGAUGACCUGUGGCUGGGGGUGAAAGGCCAAUCAAACCGGGAGAUAGCUGGUUCUCCCCGAAAGCUAUUUAGGUAGCGCCUCGUGAAUUCAUCUCCGGGGGUAGAGCACUGUUUCGGCUAGGGGGCCAUCCCGGCUUACCAACCCGAUGCAAACUGCGAAUACCGGAGAAUGUUAUCACGGGAGACACACGGCGGGUGCUAACGUCCGUCGUGAAGAGGGAAACAACCCAGACCGCCAGCUAAGGUCCCAAAGUCAUGGUUAAGUGGGAAACGAUGUGGGAAGGCCCAGACAGCCAGGAUGUUGGCUUAGAAGCAGCCAUCAUUUAAAGAAAGCGUAAUAGCUCACUGGUCGAGUCGGCCUGCGCGGAAGAUGUAACGGGGCUAAACCAUGCACCGAAGCUGCGGCAGCGACGCUGAUGCGUUGUUGGGUAGGGGAGCGUUCUGUAAGCCUGCGAAGGUGUGUCGUGAGGCAUGCUGGAGGUAUCAGAAGUGCGAAUGCUGACAUAAGUAACGAUAAAGCGGGUGAAAAGCCCGCUCGCCGGAAGACCAAGGGUUCCUGUCCAACGUUAAUCGGGGCAGGGUGAGUCGACCCCUAAGGCGAGGCCGAAAGGCGUAGUCGAUGGGAAACGGGUUAAUAUUCCCGUACUUGGUGUUACUGCGAAGGGGGGACGGAGAAGGCUAUGUUGGCCGGGCGACGGUUGUCCCGGUUUAAGCGUGUAGGUGUGUGUUCCAGGUAAAUCCGGUUCACUUUAACACUGAGGCGUGAUGACGAGGCACUACGGUGCUGAAGCAACAAAUGCCCUGCUUCCAGGAAAAGCCUCUAAGCAUCAGGUAACAUCAAAUCGUACCCCAAACCGACACAGGUGGUCAGGUAGAGAAUACCAAGGCGCUUGAGAGAACUCGGGUGAAGGAACUAGGCAAAAUGGUGCCGUAACUUCGGGAGAAGGCACGCUGACACGUAGGUGAAGUGAUUUACUCAUGGAGCUGAAGUCAGUCGAAGAUACCAGCUGGCUGCAACUGUUUAUUAAAAACACAGCACUGUGCAAACACGAAAGUGGACGUAUACGGUGUGACGCCUGCCCGGUGCCGGAAGGUUAAUUGAUGGGGUCAGCGCAAGCGAAGCUCCUGAUCGAAGCCCCGGUAAACGGCGGCCGUAACUAUAACGGUCCUAAGGUAGCGAAAUUCCUUGUCGGGUAAGUUCCGACCUGCACGAAUGGCGUAAUGAUGGCCAGGCUGUCUCCACCCGAGACUCAGUGAAAUUGAACUCGCUGUGAAGAUGCAGUGUACCCGCGGCAAGACGGAAAGACCCCGUGAACCUUUACUAUAGCUUGACACUGAACAUUGAGCCUUGAUGUGUAGGAUAGGUGGGAGGCUUUGAAGUGUGGACGCCAGUCUGCAUGGAGCCGGCCUUGAAAUACCACCCUUUAAUGUUUGAUGUUCUAACGUGGACCCGUGAUCCGGGUUGCGGACAGUGUCUGGUGGGUAGUUUGACUGGGGCGGUCUCCUCCUAAAGAGUAACGGAGGAGCACGAAGGUUGGCUAAUCCUGGUCGGACAUCAGGAGGUUAGUGCAAUGGCAUAAGCCAGCUUGACUGCGAGCGUGACGGCGCGAGCAGGUGCGAAAGCAGGUCAUAGUGAUCCGGUGGUUCUGAAUGGAAGGGCCAUCGCUCAACGGAUAAAAGGUACUCCGGGGAUAACAGGCUGAUACCGCCCAAGAGUUCAUAUCGACGGCGGUGUUUGGCACCUCGAUGUCGGCUCAUCACAUCCUGGGGCUGAAGUAGGUCCCAAGGGUAUGGCUGUUCGCCAUUUAAAGUGGUACGCGAGCUGGGUUUAGAACGUCGUGAGACAGUUCGGUCCCUAUCUGCCGUGGGCGCUGGAGAACUGAGGGGGGCUGCUCCUAGUACGAGAGGACCGGAGUGGACGCAUCACUGGUGUUCGGGUUGUCAUGCCAAUGGCACUGCCCGGUAGCUAAAUGCGGAAGAGAUAAGUGCUGAAAGCAUCUAAGCACGAAACUUGCCCCGAGAUGAGUUCUCCCUGAGACUUAGAGUCUCCUGAAGGAACGUUGAAGACGACGACGUUGAUAGGCCGGGUGUGUAAGCGCAGCGAUGCGUUGAGCUAACCGGUACUAAUGAACCGUGAGGCUUAACCUUACA
rnacentral:rRNA from 1 species